AAUCAAGCAACUUCAAUCAAAUGAUUUUCAAAUUUUGAAUUUACAAACGUGUUAUUUUUAAAUUGCUUAAGAUAGAUAAUUUCAUUGCUCUUCUUCUUUAGUACUCAUGACAGCGAAAAAUAUCUCACAUCAAAAUCAUUUAGCCAUUGUUACCAGCUCUUCUCAAGGAAUCAACAAAGCAAUUGCCCUUCACUUAGCCUCUCGGAGCUAAACUCAUUAUCAAUUACUCUUCCAAAUCCAGUCAAGCUAACGACGCCGACCAAUACUCAUCAGAAAAAAUGAUUUCAUUAAAGAUUUUCGACACUCACCGAAUUUCGCCGAAAUUUCACUCAUUAUCAAUUGAUUUUGGAAACAUUAAGGAUUCAUUCAAGAUUUCUGACACUUGUUGGUAGAAGCUCAAAAAAGUUCAUCGGUGAAUCUUCAAGAAAGAAAAAAAAAGAUACAUCACGAUACUGUCUCC
rnacentral:lncRNA from 1 species